GGUUUUUAUCGAUCUGAUACGCGGCCUGCUGGCCUAUAAAACAUGGAUCAGCAGACAGAGAGAUGACAAACAAAGCAUCAAGACUAAAGACUGACUGACUGCGGCUGCAUAUUCCAUUUGAAUUGCUACAUCUGGAGAAACAGAGCCUGCUGUGAAGCCAUGGCCUCCAAUCUGUCCCUCCUCCUGCUCGUCCUGUGUGCUUUGACUGUGGCUGAAGCAGGGCUGACGGUGUUCAACAUGCGGGCCAUUAAUCUUGACCC